GCAGCAGUGGGGAAUAUUGGCCAAUGGGCGCAAUCCUGAUCCAGCCAUACCGCGUGGGUGAAGAAGGCCUUCGGGUUGUAAAGCCCUUUUGUUGGGAAAGAAAUCCAGCUGGCUAAUACCCGGGUGGGAUGACGGUACCCAAAGAAUAAGCACCGGCUAACUUCGUGCCAGCAGCCGCGGUAAUACGAAGGGUGCAAGCGUUACUCGGAAUUACUGGGCGUAAAGCGUGCGUAGGUGGUCGUUUAAGUCCGUUGUGAAAGCCCUGGGCUCAACCUGGGAACUGCAGUGGAUACUGGGCGACUAGAAUGUGGUAGAGGGUAGCGGAAUUCCUGGUGUAGCAGUGAAAUGCGUAGAGAUCAUGAGGAACAUCCAUGGCGAAGGCAGCUACCUGGACCAACAUUGACACUGAGGCACGAAAGCGUGGGGAGCAAACAGGAUUAAAUACCCUGGUAGUCCACCCCCUAAACCAUGCGAACUGGAUGUUGGGUGCAAUUUGGCACUCAGUAUCUAAGCUAACGCGUUAAGUUC
rnacentral:rRNA from 1 species